UUUAAGUGCAACCAUAAUCCAUGUCCAACUUUAAUUAUUCGUCUUAUUUAAAUUUUUUUAUAAUUAAUAUUUUUAUUGUUGUGAGAUGAUAAAACAUAAAUAGUACUUUAUGUCUGACUUAUGUUUUCAAACUUUUUCAAAAAAAUUUCAAAUAAGACGGACGAUCAAAGUUGAGCAUGAAAAAUCAUGGUUGCAUUUAAA
rfam:Oryza sativa (indica cultivar-group) chromosome 4, whole genome shotgun sequence.